AAAGCGUACGUAGCCGGUCAAGCAAGUUCUUGGUGAAAGCAUGCGACUCAAUCGUGUGAAUGGCCAGGAAAACUGCUCGACUUGGGACCGGGAAGGGUCGGAGGUAUUCCUUGGGUAGGGGUAAAAUCCUAUAAUCCUUGGAGGACCAUCGGUGGCGAAGGCGUCCGACUGGAACGUGUCCGACGGUGAGGUACGAAAGCUAGGGGAGCGACCGGGAUUAGAUACCCCGUUAGUCCUAGCCGUAAAUGAUGCAGGUUUGGUAUUGCCCUCCUUACGAAGGAUGGCAGUGCCGUAGGGAAGCCGUUAAACCUGCCGCCUGGGGAGUACGGCCGCAAGGCUGAAACUUAAAGGAAUUGGCGGGGGAAUACUACAAGGGGUGGAGGCUGCGGUUUAAUUGGAUACAACGCCGGACAACUCACCAGGGAUGACAGCACUAUGAUGGUCAGCCUAAAGGGCUUACUUGAGGCGCUGAGAAGUGGUGCAUGGCCACCGCCAGCUCGUGCAGUGAUGUGUCCUGUUAAGUCAGGCAACGAGCGAGACCCGUGCUUCCAGUUGCUAAUUUAUUUCUACGGAAAUGGAUGCACUCUGGAGGGACUGCCAGUGAUAAACUGGAGGAAGGAGCGGGCGACGGUAGGUCAGUAUGCCCUGAAUUUCCUGGGCCACACGCGGCCUACAAUGAUAAGGACAAAAGGAUGCGACUCCGAGAGGAGAAGCUAAACCCAUAAACCUUACCCUAGUUUGGAUUGAGGGCUGGGACUCGCCCUCAUGAAA
rnacentral:rRNA from 1 species